UAUCACCACGGAAUGUUUUUCUCGCAACACUUUUCCUGCGAGAUGCAGAAUGGACUCGAAAACUGCCCCCUCUGGCAGUCAAGAAUCAAAAUUACAAAGGACAAG
rfam:Vibro shilonii strain QT6D1 chromosome 1, complete sequence.